rnacentral:rRNA from 1 species
GUCUAUUAUGAAGUUGUUAAUAGUCUGGCCUGCUCCCUGACUGAAUAGUUAAAGAGCCGCGGUAAUUUGACCGUGCAAAGGUAGCAUAAUCAUUAGUUUCUUAAUUGGAAACUUGUAUGAAAGGUCUGACAAAGAAAAAGCUGUCUUUAUUAUAAAAAUUGAAUUUAACUUUUAAGUGAAAAGGCUUAAAUAAUUUAGAGGGACGAUAAGACCCUAUAAAGCUUUAUAUAAGUAAUAAUUAAAACUGAAUUUAUAAUAAUAUUAAAAUUAAUUAUAUAAUAUAUUUUAUUGGGGUGAUAUUAAUAAAAUUGAUAUUAACUGUUAAGCGAAAAUACAGAGAUAAAAGAUUUAAAUCUGUUAAUGAUCCUUAUCUAAAGAUUAAAAGAUCAAGUUACUUUAGGGAUAACAGCGUAAUUUUUUUUAAGAGUUCAUAUCGAAAAAAAAGAUUUCGACCUCGAUGUUGAAUUAAAGAUAUCUGUGUAAAGCAGCUAUUACACAAGAAGGUCUGUUCGACCUUUAAAUUUUUACAUGAUUUGAGUUCAGACCGGCGUGAG